rnacentral:rRNA from 1 species
GCUCAGGAUGAACGCUGGCGGCGUGCCUAAUACAUGCAAGUCGAGCGAACAGACGAGGAGCUUGCUCCUCUGACGUUAGCGGCGGACGGGUGAGUAACACGUGGAUAACCUACCUAUAAGACUGGGAUAACUUCGGGAAACCGGAGCUAAUACCGGAUAAUAUAUUGAACCGCAUGGUUCAAUAGUGAAAGACGGUUUUGCUGUCACUUAUAGAUGGAUCCGCGCCGCAUUAGCUAGUUGGUAAGGUAACGGCUUACCAAGGCAACGAUGCGUAGCCGACCUGAGAGGGUGAUCGGCCACACUGGAACUGAGACACGGUCCAGACUCCUACGGGAGGCAGCAGUAGGGAAUCUUCCGCAAUGGGCGAAAGCCUGACGGAGCAACGCCGCGUGAGUGAUGAAGGUCUUCGGAUCGUAAAACUCUGUUAUUAGGGAAGAACAAAUGUGUAAGUAACUAUGCACGUCUUGACGGUACCUAAUCAGAAAGCCACGGCUAACUACGUGCCAGCAGCCGCGGUAAUACGUAGGUGGCAAGCGUUAUCCGGAAUUAUUGGGCGUAAAGCGCACGUAGGCGGUUUUUUAAGUCUGAUGUGAAAGCCCACGGCUCAACCGUGGAGGGUCAUUGGAAACUGGAAAACUUGAGUGCAGAAGAGGAAAGUGGAAUUCCAUGUGUAGCGGUGAAAUGCGCAGAGAUAUGGAGGAACACCAGUGGCGAAGGCGACUUUCUGGUCUGUAACUGACGCUGAUGUGCGAAAGCGUGGGGAUCAAACAGGAUUAGAUACCCUGGU